UGGGGAAUAUUGGACAAUGGACCAAAAGUCUGAUCCAGCAAUUCUGUGUGCACGAUGACGUUUUUCGGAAUGUAAAGUGCUUUCAGUCGGGAAGAAGCAAGUGACGGUACCGACAGAAGAAGCGACGGCUAAAUACGUGCCAGCAGCCGCGGUAAUACGUAUGUCGCAAGCGUUAUCCGGAUUUAUUGGGCGUAAAGCGCGUCUAGGCGGCAAGGAAAGUCUGAUGUGAAAAUGCGGGGCUCAACUCCGUAUUGCGUUGGAAACUGCCUUGCUAGAGUACUGGAGAGGUAGGCGGAACUACAAGUGUAGAGGUGAAAUUCGUAGAUAUUUGUAGGAAUGCCGAUGGGGAAGCCAGCCUACUGGACAGAUACUGACGCUAAAGCGCGAAAGCGUGGGUAGCAAACAGG
rnacentral:rRNA from 1 species